GCGUUAUCCGGAAUUAUUGGGUUUAAAGGGUUCGUAGGCGGCUUUGUAAGUCAGUGGUGAAAUUUCCUAGCUUAACUAGGACACUGCCAUUGAUACUGCAGAGCUUGAAUAAUAUGGAAGUAACUAGAAUAUGUAGUGUAGCGGUGAAAUGCUUAGAUAUUACAUGGAAUACCAAUUGCGAAGGCAGGUUACUACGUAUUUAUUGACGCUGAUGAACGAAAGCGUGCGGAGCGAACAGGAUUAGAUACCCUGGUAGUCCACGCCGUAAACGAUGGAUACUAGCUGUUCGGAUUUCGGUCUGAGUGGCUAAGCGAAAGUGAUAAGUAUCCCACCUGGGGA
rnacentral:rRNA from 1 species